rnacentral:rRNA from 1 species
UACGUAGGGACCAAGCGUUGUUCGGAUUUACUGGGCGUAAAGGGCGCGUAGGCGGCGUGUUAAGUCACUUGUGAAAUCUCUAAGCUUAACUUAGAACGGUCAAGUGAUACUGAUGUGCUAGAGUGCAGAAGGGGCAACCGGAAUUCUUGGUGUAGCGGUGAAAUGCGUAGAUAUCAAGAGGAACACCUGAGGUGAAGACGGGUUGCUGGGCUGACACUGACGUGAGGCGCGAAAGCUAGGGGAGCAAACGGG